rnacentral:rRNA from 1 species
GUGCCAGCAGCCGCGGUAAUACGUAGGUGGCAAGCGUUGUCCGGAUUUAUUGGGCGUAAAGCGAGCGCAGGCGGUUUCUUAAGUCUGAUGUGAAAGCCCCCGGCUUAACCGGGGAGGGUCAUUGGAAACUGAGGAACUUGAGUACAGAAGAGGAGAGUGGAAUUCCAUGUGUAGCGGUGAAAUGCGUAGAUAUAUGGAGGAACACCAGUGGCGAAGGCGACUCUCUGGUCUGUGACUGACGCUGAGGCUCGAAAGCGUGGGGAGCAAACAGGAUUAGAAACC